rnacentral:rRNA from 1 species
AGAGUUUGAUUAUGGCUCAGGACGAACGCUGGCGGCAUGCCUAACACAUGCAAGUCGAACGGAAUAAGAAUGGUUGUAGCGAUACUUCGUUCUUAUUAGUGGCGAACGGGUGAGUAACACGUGAGCAACCUGCCUUCUACACAGGGAUAACAGCCGGAAACGGCUGCUAAUACCGGAUAAGACCACACCGAGGCAUCUCGGAGGGGUCAAAGCGAUUUAGCGGUAGAAGAUGGGCUCGCGUCCCAUUAGCUAGUUGGUGAGAUAACAGCCCACCAAGGCGACGAUGGGUAGCCGACUUGAGAGAGUGAUCGGCCACAUUGGAACUGAGACACGGUCCAGACUCCUUCGGGAGGCAGCAGUGGGGAAUAUUGGGCAAUGGAAGGAAACUCUUACCCAGCAACGCCGCGUGAGUGAAGAAGGCCUUCGGGUUGUAAAGCUCUGUUAUAGGGGACGAAGGAAGUGACGGUACCCUAUAAGGAAGCCCCGGCUAACUACGUGCCAGCCGCCGC